UUUCAAUGGAGUGUUGUUGGCACCCUUGUGGAAAACUGACUGUAAAUAUAAGGAGACUGAGAAUUUAAUCUUCUCUCUUUUGGGGGGCUCUCAUUAUCAAUGACGGGAAGUUGUAAGGGAAAAGAUAUUGAUUCAACCUGAGAUAACAGUUUUCUGAGACUCAGCAUUGAAGAGGGUGAUCAUUGUUCGAGUGAGAUGAGCCCCGGGUUGUACGGAGUCAGCAUCCCUGUCCGGACACGGCACGUGUAGAGCUACGUGGUGGGUGAGGCAGCGCGGCCGCACAGGGAACGCGGAUGCCGGGCCGUUGGGCUGUGCUCAGGCCCGGCUCGAUGAGUUUUCAUUGGAGGGAAUUGAUCUUACAGAGGAUGGACUUA